rnacentral:rRNA from 1 species
GAAAUCUGGCACCUUCGGUGUCCGAGUUGUAAUUUGAAGAAGGUAACUUUGGAGUUGGCUCUUGUCUAUGUUCCUUGGAACAGGACGUCACAGAGGGUGAGAAUCCCGUGCGAUGAGAUGCCCAAUUCUAUGUAAAGUGCUUUCGAAGAGUCGAGUUGUUUGGGAAUGCAGCUCUAAGUGGGUGGUAAAUUCCAUCUAAAGCUAAAUAUUGGCGAGAGACCGAUAGCGAACAAGUACAGUGAUGGAAAGAUGAAAAGAACUUUGAAAAGAGAGUGAAAAAGUACGUGAAAUUGUUGAAAGGGAAGGGCUUGAGAUCAGACUUGGUAUUUUGCGAUCCUUUCCUUCUUGGUUGGGUUCCUCGCAGCUUACUGGGCCAGCAUCGGUUUGGAUGGUAGGAUAAUGACUAAGGAAUGUGGCUCUACUUCGGUGGAGUGUUAUAGCCUUGGUUGAUACUGCCUGUCUAGACCGAGGACUGCGUCUUUUGACUAGGAUGUUGGCAUAAUGAU